rnacentral:tRNA from 1 species
CUUCGGCGUGGUGGGGUGAUUCCGCGAGCGCUUCUGGAACGCUGGACAGCGGAGCAUGUACUCAGUGCCGGACCGAGCGGCGAGGG